rnacentral:rRNA from 1 species
GAUGAACGCUGGCGGCGUGCCUAAUACAUGCAAGUCGAGCGAACAGACGAGGAGCUUGCUCCUCUGACGUUAGCGGCGGACGGGUGAGUAACACGUGGAUAACCUACCUAUAAGACUGGGAUAACUUCGGGAAACCGGCGCUAAUACCGGAUAAUAUAUUGAACCGCAUGGUUCAAUAGUGAAAGACGGUUUUGCUGUCACUUAUAGAUGGAUCCGCGCCGCAUUAGCUAGUUGGUAAGGUAACGGCUUACCAAGGCAACGAUGCGUAGCCGACCUGAGAGGGUGGUCGGCCACACUGGAACUGAGACACGGUCCAGACUCCUACGGGAGGCAGCAGUAGGGAAUCUGCCGCAAUGGGCGAAAGCCUGACGGAGCAACGCCGCGUGAGUUAUGAAGGUCUUCGGAUCGUAAAACUCUGUUAUUAGGGAAGAACAAAUGUGUAAGUAACUGUGCACGUCUUGACGGUACCUAAUCAGAAAGCCACGGCUAACUACGUG